AUUGAACGCUAGCGGGAUGCCUUACACAUGCAAGUCGAACGGAGUGGCGAACGGGUGAGUAAUGUAUCGGAACGUGCCCAGUAGCGGGGGAUAACUACGCGAAAGGGUAGCUAAUACCGCAUACUAUUGGAGUGGCCGUUAUCGGAUUAGCUCGUUGGUGGGGUACCGGCUCACCAAGGCGACGAUCCGUAGCUGGUUUUAGAGGGCGACCAGCCACACUGGGAAUUGGACACGGUCCAGACUCCUACGGGAGGCAGUAGGGGGGAACGUUGGCAAAUGGGAGAAACCCGGAUCCAGCCAUCCCGCGUGUGGGAAGAAGGGCUUCGGGUAGUAAAGCACUUUUGGCAGGUAAGCGGUAUCUGCACAAUAAGCACCGGCUAACUACGUGCCAGCAGCCGCGGUAAUUC
rnacentral:rRNA from 1 species